rnacentral:rRNA from 1 species
AGCGAACGUUAGCGGCGGGCCUAACACAUGCAAGUCGUACGAGAACGCUCCUUCGGGAGUUAUUAAAGUGGCGCACGGGUGAGGAACGCGUAGGUAAUCUACCCUCAGGCGGGGGACAACACUCCGAAAGGAAUGCUAAUACCGCGUAAGACCACACUUACUAAGGUGAGAGUGGUAAAAGAUGGCCUCUUCUUGAAAGCUAUCACCAGAGGAUGAGCCUGCGUCCCAUCAGCUUGUUGGUAAGGUAACGGCUUACCAAGGCGAAGACGGGUAGCUGGUCUGAGAGGAUGAUCAGCCACACUGGCACUGGAACACGGGCCAGACUCCUACGGGAGGCAGCAGUGAGGAAUAUUGGGCAAUGGGCGCAAGCCUGACCCAGCCACGCCGCGUGUGUGAUGAAGGCCUUCGGGUCGUAAAGCACUGUGGGGAGGGACGAAAAACCUCCGUUCGAAUAGGGCGGAGGCUUGACGGUACCUCCUUAGCAAGCACCGGCUAACUCUGUG